UACGUAGGGUGCAAGCGUUAGUCGGAAUUACUGGGCGUAAAGCGUGCGCAGGCGGUUUUGUAAGUUUGUCGUGAAAGCCCCGGGCUCAACCUGGGAAUUGCGAUGAAGACUGCAAGGCUUGAAUCUGGCAGAGGGGGGUAGAAUUCCACGUGUAGCAGUGAAAUGCGUAGAGAUGUGGAGGAACACCGAUGGCGAAGGCAGCCCCCUGGGUCAAGAUUGACGCUCAUGCACGAAAGCGUGGGGAGCAAACAGG
rnacentral:rRNA from 1 species